UUCAUUGCUCUCAGGUGGCCACAAGGAGAUUAAGAAACUCGAAUUGGCAUGCAAAGAAUGGGGCUUCUUUCAGGUGCUAAAUCAUGGUGUUGCAAAAGAAGUGGUGCAGAGUUUUGAGGAUGCGAUGGCAGAGUUUUUUGAUCUCCCACUAGAAGAGAAAAAUAUGUAUGCAAUGGCUUCAAAUGACAUUCAAGGGUAUGGACAUGCAUAUGUGGUCUCUGAAGAGCACAAACUAGACUGGUCAGAUGCUUUCAUACUUGUCACUUACCCUUCCAACUAUCGGAGGCUUAGAUUUUGGCCAACCACACCAACCGGAUUCAAGUACAUUCUCUCUAACUAUACCAAAUAAAUAACAAUUUAGAUUUUCAUCUGUAAACCAAGAAGUUUGUUAAUGCAUAGAAACUAUUGAGGGAUAUUUAAUUGAAGUAAGAAGAGUCGCAGAGGAGCUUAUAGGUUCAGUCUCAAUAAUUAUGGGAAUGGACAAGGGUACUGUAUUAGCAAUGCACAAAGAGUUGAUGCAAGCCAUGCGUGUGAACUACUAUCCCACCUGUUACAAGCCUGAGCAAGUACUUACUGGGCAUAAUAAGCCCACAUUUGGACACAAGCACCUUACCCAUACUACUGUAAGAUGAUAUCCUCGAUGGGUUGCAAAUUCAGCAUUGUGGAGAGUGGGUGCCUGUUAAUCCAAUUGCAAAUGCUCAAGUUGUGAACAUUGGAGAUAUCAUCGAGAUUUUGAGCAACGGGAAGUACAAGAGUAUUGACCAUAGGGCUGUGACAAAUGAGAAUUAAGUCUAGGAUUUCAUUUGCAACAUUUUUCUUCCCACACGAUGAUGUGGAAAUUGAACAAUGGUAGAUCCCAAAAUGCCCCUUAGGAUAUACAAGAAAGUUAGUUAUGGAGAUUAUCUUCAGCAAAGCAUGAAAAAGAGAAUGCAGGGGAAGACGCACACUGAGAUGGCAAAGAGCAGAACUUAAGAGCAUACCUUCACUUUUUUCAUCCUCUUGAAUUGAUUUAAAAUGCAAGCUUUCUUCACAUCAUGAAUGUUUGUGAUGUACAACAAAGAAUCCAAAUUAUGGCUUGUUUCUUAGUCUGUCAGAGUCACAGAUGGAGAUGAAUUAAUAUGAUCUUCCUGUAUGGUAGUUUAAGCUUUCAUGUCAAAACUAGAAAACGAUAUACGAAGUGCAUAAAGGCACUCAGUGAUCAAAUAAAAAUCACAAAUUUCAAAGAAGUAUUAAAAAGGAAUAAGAAAUCACGCUUAAGAGCUUGAACUGAACCCAACUACAACUUAGUUGAUGGGACAUGCAUGAUCUCAGAUAGUUUUCUCUUCAACUAUAUCGAACCCUAUACAAAACAGUUGGAUAAACAUCACCUCACCAUCCAUUUUUUUUUUUUUUUUUUAAUUAAGUUUUGUAUGAAACCACUGUUGGGUUUUAAUCCAUACAACUUGUAGAAAUAAAAAAUAGAGCAAUAACCUUUUUUUUUUUUUUUUGAUAAGUAAAAAAAUAUAGCAAUAACUAAAGAGAAAAAUUUAGCAAUCA